rnacentral:tRNA from 1 species
UGGCUCAGUUGGUAGAGCAUGGUGUGUGCAACACUAGGGUUGUGGGUUUGAUUCCCAC